UUAAGUUAUUAAGGGCGCACGGUGGAUGCCUUGGCACUAGAAGCCGAUGAAGGACGUUACUAACGACGAUAUGCUUUGGGGAGCUGUAAGUAAGCUUUGAUCCAGAGAUUUCCGAAUGGGGAAACCCAGCAUGAGUUAUGUCAUGUUAUCGAUAUGUGAAUACAUAGCAUAUCAGAAGGCACACCCGGAGAACUGAAACAUCUUAGUACCCGGAGGAAGAGAAAGAAAAUUCGAUUCCCUUAGUAGCGGCGAGCGAAACGGGAAGAGCCCAAACCAACAAGCUUGCUUCUCUAGUGACCGAUAGUGAACCAGUACCGUGAGGGAAAGGUGAAAAGCACCCCGGAAGGGGAGUGAAAUAGAACCUGAAACCGUGUGCUUACAAGUAGUCAGAGCCCGUUAAUGGGUGAUGGCGUGCCUUUUGUAGAAUGAACCGGCGAGUUACGAUUUGAUGCAAGGUUAAGCAGUAAAUGUGGAGCCGUAGCGAAAGCGAGUCUGAAUAGGGCGUUUAGUAUUUGGUCGUAGACCCGAAACCAGGUGAUCUACCCUUGGUCAGGUUGAAGUUCAGGUAACACUGAAUGGAGGACCGAACCGACUUACGUUGAAAAGUGAGCGGAUGAACUGAGGGUAGCGGAGAAAUUCCAAUCGAACCUGGAGAUAGCUGGUUCUCUCCGAAAUAGCUUUAGGGCUAGCCUCAAGUGAUGAUUAUUGGAGGUAGAGCACUGUUUGGACGAGGGGCCCCUCUCGGGUUACCGAAUUCAGACAAACUCCGAAUGCCAAUUAAUUUAACUUGGGAGUCAGAACAUGGGUGAUAAGGUCCGUGUUCGAAAGGGAAACAGCCCAGACCACCAGCUAAGGUCCCAAAAUAUAUGUUAAGUGGAAAAGGAUGUGGCGUUGCCCAGACAACUAGGAUGUUGGCUUAGAAGCAGCCAUCAUUUAAAGAGUGCGUAAUAGCUCACUAGUCGAGUGACACUGCGCCGAAAAUGUACCGGGGCUAAACAUAUUACCGAAGCUGUGGAUUGUCCUUUGGACAAUGGUAGGAGAGCGUUCUAAGGGCGUUGAAGCAUGAUCGUAAGRACAUGUGGAGCGCUUAGAAGUGAGAAUGCCGGUGUGAGUAGCGAAAGACGGGUGAGAAUCCCGUCCACCGAUUGACUAAGGUUUCCAGAGGAAGGCUCGUCCGCUCUGGGUUAGUCGGGUCCUAAGCUGAGGCCGACAGGCGUAGGCGAUGGAUAACAGGUUGAUAUUCCUGUACCACCUAUAAUCGUUUUAAUCGAUGGGGGGACGCAGUAGGAUAGGCGAAGCGUGCGAUUGGAUUGCACGUCUAAGCAGUAAGGCUGAGUAUUAGGCAAAUCCGGUACUCGUUAAGGCUGAGCUGUGAUGGGGAGAAGACAUUGUGUCUUCGAGUCGUUGAUUUCACACUGCCGAGAAAAGCCUCUAGAUAGAAAAUAGGUGCCCGUACCGCAAACCGACACAGGUAGUCAAGAUGAGAAUUCUAAGGUGAGCGAGCGAACUCUCGUUAAGGAACUCGGCAAAAUGACCCCGUAACUUCGGGAGAAGGGGUGCUCUUUAGGGUUAACGCCCAGAAGAGCCGCAGUGAAUAGGCCCAAGCGACUGUUUAUCAAAAACACAGGUCUCUGCUAAACCGUAAGGUGAUGUAUAGGGGCUGACGCCUGCCCGGUGCUGGAAGGUUAAGAGGAGUGGUUAGCUUCUGCGAAGCUACGAAUCGAAGCCCCAGUAAACGGCGGCCGUAACUAUAACGGUCCUAAGGUAGCGAAAUUCCUUGUCGGGUAAGUUCCGACCCGCACGAAAGGCGUAACGAUUUGGGCACUGUCUCAACGAGAGACUCGGUGAAAUCAUAGUACCUGUGAAGAUGCAGGUUACCCGCGACAGGACGGAAAGACCCCGUGGAGCUUUACUGUAGCCUGAUAUUGAAAUUCGGCACAGCUUGUACAGGAUAGGUAGGAGCCUUUGAAACGUGAGCGCUAGCUUACGUGGAGGCGCUGGUGGGAUACUACCCUAGCUGUGUUGGCUUUCUAACCCGCACCACUUAUCGUGGUGGGAGACAGUGUCAGGCGGGCAGUUUGACUGGGGCGGUCGCCUCCUAAAAGGUAACGGAGGCGCUCAAAGGUUCCCUCAGAAUGGUUGGAAAUCAUUCAUAGAGUGUAAAGGCAUAAGGGAGCUUGACUGCGAGACCUACAAGUCGAGCAGGGUCGAAAGACGGACUUAGUGAUCCGGUGGUUCCGCAUGGAAGGGCCAUCGCUCAACGGAUAAAAGCUACCCCGGGGAUAACAGGCUUAUCUCCCCCAAGAGUUCACAUCGACGGGGAGGUUUGGCACCUCGAUGUCGGCUCAUCGCAUCCUGGGGCUGUAGUCGGUCCCAAGGGUUGGGCUGUUCGCCCAUUAAAGCGGUACGCGAGCUGGGUUCAGAACGUCGUGAGACAGUUCGGUCCCUAUCCGUCGUGGGCGUAGGAAAUUUGAGAGGAGCUGUCCUUAGUACGAGAGGACCGGGAUGGACAUACCUCUGGUGUACCAGUUGUCGUGCCAACGGCAUAGCUGGGUAGCUAUGUGUGGACGGGAUAAGUGCUGAAAGCAUCUAAGCAUGAAGCCCCCCUCAAGAUGAGAUUUCCCAACUUCGGUUAUAAGAUCCCUCAAAGAUGAUGAGGUUAAUAGGUUCGAGGUGGAAGCAUGGUGACAUGUGGAGCUGACGAAUACUAAUCGAUCGAAGACUUAAUCAA
rnacentral:rRNA from 1 species